rnacentral:rRNA from 1 species
AACGAACGCUGGCGGCAUGCCUAACACAUGCGAGUCGAACGAGACCUUCGGGUCUAGUGGCGCACGGGUGCGUAACACGUGGGAAUCUGCCCUUUGCUACGGAAUAACAGUUAGAAAUGACUGCUAAUACCGGAUGAUGUCGAAAGACCAAAGAUUUAUCGGCAAAGGAUGAGCCCGCGUAGGAUUAGGUAGUUGGUGGGGUAAAGGCCUACCAAGCCGACGAUCCUUAGCUGGUCUGAGAGGAUGAUCAGCCACACUGGGACUGAGACACGGCCCAGACUCCUACGGGAGGCAGCAGUGGGGAAUAUUGGACAAUGGGCGAAAGCCUGAUCCAGCAAUGCCGCGUGAGUGAUGAAGGCCUUAGGGUUGUAAAGCUCUUUUACCAGGGAUGAUAAUGACAGUACCUGGAGAAUAAGCUCCGGCUAACUCCGUG